CUAUUUAACCCCCGAAAUAUCCAUGCUAAUCUGCUUUACCCCUAAAGUAUGAAAUCGGGUAUUUAACCUCUAAAGUAUGAAAACCGGGUCAAACAACCCCUUAUGGUGAUUUUGGAGCGGUUUCACCACCGUGACGAUCUACAUGGACUAUUACGUGUCAAUGACCUACAUAUCAGGCUGCUUCCUUACUCUAUUCCUCUCUCUUACAGUUGGGUCCCACCUCUCAUUUCUUCCUCUUAUCCCACCGCUCUCUCUAUCCAUUAGCUCCUCCAUUCUCCAGCUGUGCAUCGUCUCUCUCCCUUGUAGAUCGACGGCUGUAGGCCGUAGGGCGGACGCCGCUGCCGCGGCAGGUGUUCGAGAUCGAGCUGCUGCGGCGUCGAUGGCGGCAGGAGCUCGAGCUGCGGCAGGGGCGGAAGCAGGUGCUCGAGCGCGUUCGGCGGCGGCAACGGAGAUUUGGUGCCCUCGUGGCCUGUAGCUUGGGUGAUAUUAUUGCUAUAUCAAUCUCCUGCUAACCGGUGUCA